rnacentral:ncRNA from 2 species
AAUUAAGAAGGUGAUGGAGUUCACCUGAAUCACUUUUAGUUAAUGACUCCUGUAGAAUU